GGGGGUAUAGCUUAGUGGUAGAGCAUGAGAGGUCCUGGGUUCAAUCCCUAGUACCUCUA
rnacentral:tRNA from 1 species